CAGUAGCCGCGGGAAUACGUAGGUGGCAAGCGUUGUCCGGAAUUAUUGGGCGUAAAGGGCUCGCAGGCGGUUUCUUAAGUCUGAUGUGAAAGCCCCCGGCUCAACCGGGGAGGGUCAUUGGAAACUGGGAAACUUGAGUGCAGAAGAGGAGAGUGGAAUUCCACGUGUAGCGGUGAAAUGCGUAGAGAUGUGGAGGAACACCAGUGGCGAAGGCGACUCUCUGGUCUGUAACUGACGCUGAGGAGCGAAAGCGUGGGGAGCGAACAGGAUUAGAUACCCGCGUAGUCCCUGUCUCUUAUAU
rnacentral:rRNA from 1 species